AUUCUUUUAGUAUAAAAAGUAUACUUAACUUCCAAUUAAGAGGCCUAUUUUAGAAAGAAUA
rnacentral:tRNA from 1 species